rnacentral:misc_RNA from 1 species
AAAUGCGAUAAGUAAUGUGAAUUGCAGAAUUCAGUGAAUCAUCGAAUCUUUGAACGCACCUUGCGCCCGCCAGUAUUCUGGCGGGCAUGCCUGUUCGAGCGUCAUUUCAACCAUCAAGCCCCCGGCUUGUGUUGGGGACCUGCGGCUGCCCGCAGGCCCUGAAAAACAGUGGCGGGCUCGCUGUCACACCGAGCGUAGUAGCAUACAUUCUCGCUCAGGGCGUGCUGCGGGUUCCGGCCGUUAAACGACCUUCAUAACCCAAGGUUGACCUCGGAUCAGGUAGGAAGACCCGCUGAACUUAAGC